UGAUCACCUAAUCGCCGGCUAACUACUGACCACGGGUCGCCUCUCUGAAUGAGAAAAGCUUAGGCCUUAGUCUACGACGCUGGCCCAGUAUAGAUUGGCAGACUUCUCACACCUUUGAGAACAUUAUGGAGAACUCUC